GCGCUAGUGGUAAAGUGGAAUCACGACUGAGUUGGACUGGCUCAAGCAUCGAGGGUUCGAAUCCCUCCUGGUCCU